GUUUUCCUUUCAGAAUAGUCUAAGGAAGCAUGAACUCGCGCAGUAGCCUGAUUUGGGGCUGCUGGGAAGACCUGCUGUGGGUGAAGGUUUAAUAACUGUCGUAUGGAAUUUCAGGAGGCAUCUGCUGUGAAAUCCUCAUUGAGUAUCUGUUCUGUUGAUGAUUAAAAACUCAAGUAGACCAUCUUUGUGUGGAUGAGCUUGAAGUGUGGACUACAUGAUGAAGAUAACAUGAGAGCUCCUGAGAAUGAUGCAGGUUACAAUGUGGUCCUCCUAGUCAAUGUAGUAAUUGAUUCUGGAGCUGUACUAAGUCUUCAUGCUGUACAAACUCAUAAGUACAUAACAUUUCCCAAGUCCAACAAAUUCCUCCACUGUAAAGCCAUGCACUGUUUUCAGCACAGUGUACUGUACUCAAGUGUUCCCUUACACAGACAUGUAGCUCUUUCUCCCUUUGUGCUAAAUUUCUACAAUGCUUUGGGGAUUUUUUUGUCUUUACUACUUCUGCUGUAUUAGAGUCAGGAAAAGUAGAACUCUGCAGUCCUUACCUAGUCACAUAAGGAUCUUUAUCCAUGCAGCUACCAAUUAAA